rfam:Cavia porcellus supercont2_2 genomic scaffold, whole genome shotgun sequence.
GGGGAUUUAGCUCAGCGGCAUAAGCACCUGCCUUGCAAGCAGGCAGUCAGUCGUGAGUUUGAUUGAUCCCUG